GCUCAGAUUGAACGCUGGCGGCAGGCCUAACACAUGCAAGUCGAGCGGAUGAAGGGAGCUUGCUCCUGGAUUCAGCGGCGGACGGGUGAGUAAUGCCUAGGAAUCUGCCUGGUAGUGGGGGAUAACGUCCGGAAACGGGCGCUAAUACCGCAUACGUCCUGAGGGAGAAAGUGGGGGAUCUUCGGACCUCACGCUAUCAGAUGAGCCUAGGUCGGAUUAGCUAGUUGGUGGGGUAAAGGCCUACCAAGGCGACGAUCCGUAACUGGUCUGAGAGGAUGAUCAGUCACACUGGAACUGAGACACGGUCCAGACUCCUACGGGAGGCAGCAGUGGGGAAUAUUGGACAAUGGGCGAAAGCCUGAUCCAGCCAUGCCGCGUGUGUGAAGAAGGUCUUCGGAUUGUAAAGCACUUUAAGUUGGGAGGAAGGGCAGUAAGUUAAUACCUUGCUGUUUUGACGUUACCAACAGAAUAAGCACCGGCUAACUUCGUGCCAGCAGCCGCGGUAAUACGAAGGGUGCAAGCGUUAAUCGGAAUUACUGGGCGUAAAGCGCGCGUAGGUGGUUCAGCAAGUUGGAUGUGAAAUCCCCGGGCUCAACCUGGGAACUGCAUCCAAAACUACUGAGCUAGAGUACGGUAGAGGGUGGUGGAAUUUCCUGUGUAGCGGUGAAAUGCGUAGAUAUAGGAAGGAACACCAGUGGCGAAGGCGACCACCUGGACUGAUACUGACACUGAGGUGCGAAAGCGUGGGGAGCAAACAGGAUUAGAUACCCUGGUAGUCCACGCCGUAAACGAUGUCGACUAGCCGUUGGGAUCCUUGAGAUCUUAGUGGCGCAGCUAACGCGAUAAGUCGACCGCCUGGGGAGUACGGCCGCAAGGUUAAAACUUAAAGGAAUUGACGGC
rnacentral:rRNA from 1 species